rnacentral:rRNA from 1 species
UUGAACGCUGGCGGCAGGCCUAACACAUGCAAGUCGAGCGGUUGAGAGUAGCUUGCUACUUGAUGCAGCGGCGGACGGGUGAGUAACGCGUGGGAAUCUGCCCAGUAGUGGGGGACAACAGCCGGAAACGGCUGCUAAUACCGCAUACGCCCUACGGGGGAAAGGGGGGGAUCUUCGGACCUCUCGCUAUUGGAUGAGCCCGCGUCGGAUUAGCUAGUUGGUAGGGUAAAGGCCUACCAAGGCUACGAUCCGUAACUGGUCUGAGAGGAUGAUCAGUCACACUGGAACUGAGACACGGUCCAGACUCCUACGGGAGGCAGCAGUGGGGAAUAUUGGACAAUGGGGGAAACCCUGAUCCAGCCAUGCCGCGUGUGUGAAGAAGGCCUUAGGGUUGUAAAGCACUUUCAGUGGGGAGAAAGGUUUGUCACCUAAUACGUGAUGAAAUUGAUGUUACCCACAGAAUAAGCACCGGCUAACUCUGUGCCAGCAGCCGCAGUAAAAC